UCACAUUUCCAGAGACGGACAGCGAAUGUCGUGAGAUCAAAUUAGGCUUUUUCAACAAAUACAAAUUUCGCAAUGUGCUGGGCGCGAUUGACUGUACCCACGUGCAGAUCAGACCGCCACGGAAUUCAGAGGAAUGUUUUCGGAACCGAAAACAGUUCCAUUCCCUGAACGUGCAGGCGGUCUGUGAUGUAAACAUGAGAUUUUUGAACAUUUUUGUGGGAUUUCCUGGAUCAUCUCACGACUCCUUCAUCCUAAGCCAGUCAUCGCUGUUUGACAAGUUUAAACAGGAAACAUGCCUGGUGGCUGGCUGUUAGGCGAUGCGGGUUAUCCAAACAAACCGUGGCUCUUGACCCCAUUGUCUAAUCCUGUCGGUAGAGCAGAAAAACGUUACCAAGAGACACACAUUGCAUCGAGGCAAAUAAUUGAACGUGCCUUCGGUGUACUUAAAAGCCGGUUUCGAUGUUUAGACACUUCCGGCGGUGCUCUUUUGUACUCACCGGCGAAGGUUUGCGGCAUGGUAAAUGCAUGUUGUAUUUUACACAACAUAUGUGUCGCAAACCGUUUGCCGGUGACUCUUCGUCGCAGUGCUUUCCGACGCGGGAACCGGUCUUCUGCUCUACCGGUGGGUAUGGACGAAGGAGAGGAUUCCCGGCGGACAUUGAUCCAAAAUUAUUUUGCAGUUGCCUAGUUUUACAUCCUGUUGAUGUAUAUCCCCAGGCCAUGUUUGUACAGUUCGUUACCCCCUGUUUUAUCCUGUUGUUGGGUUACCGCAAAUAUUUGAUCCUUUUAUCCAACUCUACCAUGGGUGACCUACUGGUGAUGUGGACCUGACCCUCCGCCAUGUAGCAGACAACCCCCCCUCAGGUGAGAUGUAUUGCCCAAAACUCCCUUGUCCAAAAUCACCCCGACAUGUCCAAAGUGCAGCCCUCCGGCAUUUGCAAGACUGCACAUCCAAACAUUCCCUGAAACAGCAAUGCUAGUCAGGGA